rnacentral:rRNA from 1 species
UACGAAGGGGGCUAGCGUUGCUCGGAAUCACUGGGCGUAAAGGGCGCGUAGGCGGACUUUUAAGUCAGGGGUGAAAUCCUGAGGCUCAACCUCAGAACUGCCUUUGAUACUGAGGGUCUCGAGACCGGUAGAGGUAAGUGGAACUGCGAGUGUAGAGGUGAAAUUCGUAGAUAUUCGCAAGAACACCAGUGGCGAAGGCGGCUUACUGGUCCGGUUCUGACGCUGAGGCGCGAAAGCGUGGGGAGCAAACAGG